GAGAGUUAAACAGUACGUGAAAUUGUUGAAAGGGAAACGAUUGAAGCCAGUCGUACCUUCGGGUAAUCAGCCUUUCGGGUGCGAUUCUGUGGGGUGUGAAGAGUUAAACGCCUUCACGUUUUGCAUAUUCGUGUUCUUGGGUGUACUUGCCCGUGUGGUUGGUUAACAUCAAUUUUGGACGCCAUAAAAUGACUGGAGGAAUGUAGCUUCGAUCUCGUAUUGAAGUGUUAUAGCCUUCGGUAGAUGUGGUUUUCGAGAUUGAGGAUUGCAACGGAUACCCUUCGGGGCUACCUAUCUGAUCUCUGAUCGUUGCUCUGGUGCCGAAAGCUUGCUUACGGUUAUCAAAGUCGAUGGUCAAUAUGUUAGAAUGGGUUAAAUUCGUUAAGGAUGUUGACGUAAUGGCUUUAAACGA
rnacentral:rRNA from 1 species